rnacentral:rRNA from 1 species
UACGUAGGGUGCGAGCGUUAAUCGGAAUUACUGGGCGUAAAGGGUGCGCAGGCGGUUAUAUAAGACAGAUGUGAAAUCCCCGGGCUCAACCUGGGAACUGCGUUUGUGACUGUAUGACUAGAGUACGGUAGAGAGGGGUGGAAUUCCUGGUGUAGCAGUGAAAUGCGUAGAUAUCAGGAGGAACAUCGAUGGCGAAGGCAGCCCCUUGGACCUGUACUGACGCUCAUGCACGAAAGCGUGGGGAGCACACAGG